GAGGGCCGGCCCCCUGGAGCGCCGGAGCAGGAGGGGCGCGCAGGGAUCGCGCCGCGCCUCGCCGCCUGCGGGGUCGUGGGGUCCCCGCAGCCCGCAGGGAUGCUAAGUAAGGGUCCUUCAGGGCGGGAACCAGAUUCGAGGCAGGGACGCAGGCCACGUUCGAAAAAAAGUACCGAAAGUCAUAAGGCCCCAGUUCAGAUGGGCGUUCCGCGCGUGACAGCGCAGAGAUAACGGCCACCCCUGGGCGAAGAUUUGGAACUUGAAGAUGAAUUUUUCUUCCUCAUCAAAAGAAUAUCUAAUACUGCCUUCAAAUUAAUAAAAUUGAGUUUAUUCUAUUAUUUGGUUUCUCUUUUUGUUAGAAAGGAAAUACUCCUGUCAAAUGCAUAACUUGAAUCUAAACCUGAGGAAACAAU